CGGAAGGGUUUUCAGGGGAAUAACCCCGCGAGGCCCAGAAUCCUCCCAAAACCCCGUCGGCCUGUUUGGUACGCGGGGUUACAUGGGCCCAAUCCUCUCGAUUCCCCCUCGAUCCACUUCUUCCCACGCGUUUCAGAACCCUCGAGGCCCCCCUCGGGCCUCAUUUGGCGCGAGUGGGUUGACGGGGUUUCGAGAGGAUUUUCCUCGCGAGGGCCAGAAACCCCCAGAAACCACGUUGGCCCAUUUAGUACAGGGGGUUUGUAUGGGCCAAUCCUCUCUAAUCCACGCGAAACCACGCGAAACCACGCGGCUCGAAACCCUCGUCCAGCGACUCAGGGAAUCGCUCGUCCCCGCACGCCGCCAGCGAGAGGAAGAGACGACGCCGCCGCCACCACCGAGGGGAAGAGCCCCGCCUCCGCCACCGAGGGGAAGAGCCCCGCCGGCGAGAGGAGGAGCCCCCACGCCGCCGCCCGACUCUGCCCGACGCCGGCGUUACUCCUCCAGCGUACUGGCCUUCUCCCCGGUGGGACCUGAUCUCGCGGAAGACGGGUGACCACUUUGCUGCCACAAGUCUCCUUCACACCGUGUAGCCCGCAAACAUGUCUCGGAGCAUUUGCCGAUCAAAUUUAUGUUGUAAUGAACCAUUGACUUUCGUUGAUUGAACAUCUUGUAUUUUUCAUUUGGACCGUGGCAUGUAUGCAUGUAACAUUUCAUUUGAACAGUUGAUAGUACAUGCAACAGAUUAUACAAGCCUUUUUGUUAUUUUGCAUAAUCUAGUUGCACCAUUGUUGCAAGUA